rnacentral:rRNA from 1 species
UUGAACGCUGGCGGCAUGCCUUACACAUGCAAGUCGAACGGCAGCACGGGUGCUUGCACCUGGUGGCGAGUGGCGAACGGGUGAGUAAUACAUCGGAACAUGUCCUGUAGUGGGGGAUAGCCCGGCGAAAGCCGGAUUAAUACCGCAUACGAUCUACGGAUGAAAGCGGGGGACCUUCGGGCCUCGCGCUAUAGGGUUGGCCGAUGGCUGAUUAGCUAGUUGGUGGGGUAAAGGCCUACCAAGGCGACGAUCAGCAGCUGGUCUGAGAGGACGACCAGCCACACUGGGACUGAGACACGGCCCAGACUCCUACGGGAGGCAGCAGUGGGGAAUUUUGGACAAUGGGCGAAAGCCUGAUCCAGCAAUGCCGCGUGUGUGAAGAAGGCCUUCGGGUUGUAAAGCACUUUUGUCCGGAAAGAAAUCCUUGGCCCUAAUACGGUCGGGGGAUGACGGUACCGGAAGAAUAAGCACCGGCUAACUACGU